rnacentral:rRNA from 1 species
UACGAGGGGGGCAAAUGUUGUUCGGAAUCACUGGGCGUAAAGGGAGCGUAGGCGGGCUCUUAAGUUAGGUGUUUAAUCCCGGGGCCCAACCCCGGACAGGCACCUAAAACUGGGAGUCUUGAAUAGUGGAGAGGACGGCGGAAUUGGGGGUGUAGCGGUGGAAUGCGUAGAGAUCCCCAAGAACACCAGUUGCGAAGGCGGCCGUCUGGACACAUAUUGACGCUGAGGCUCGAAAGCAUGGGGAGCAAACAGGAUUAGAAACCCCCGUAGUCC